UAGAGUUUGAUCCUGGCUCAGGAUGAACGCUAGCUACAGGCUUAACACAUGCAAGUCGAGGGGAAACGAUUGCGGUGCUUGCACCGCAAGGCGUCGACCGGCGCACGGGUGAGUAACGCGUAUCCAACCUGGCCCCAAGUAAGGGAUAAUCCAUAGAAAUGUGGUCUAAUACCUUAUGUGGUCAGACGAUGACAUCAGACUUUGACUAAAGAUUCAUCGCUUGGGGAUGGGGAUGCGUCUGAUUAGGCAGUAGGCGGGGCAACGGCCCACCUAACCGACGAUCAGUAGGGGUUCUGAGAGGAAAGUCCCCCACAUUGGAACUGAGACACGGUCCAAACUCCUACGGGAGGCAGCAGUGAGGAAUAUUGGUCAAUGGGCGUAAGCCUGAACCAGCCAAGUAGCGUGCAGGAUGACGGCCCUAUGGGUUGUAAACUGCUUUUGUGCGGGGAUAAAGUACGUGACGUGUCAUGUAUUGCAGGUACCGCACGAAUAAGGACCGGCUAAUUCCGUGCCAGCAGCCGCGGUAAUACGGAAGGUCCGGGCGUUAUCCGGAUUUAUUGGGUUUAAAGGGAGCGCAGGCCGCCCCAUAAGCGUGUUGUGAAAUGUAGGCGCUCAACGUCUGACUUGCAGCGCGAACUGUGGGACUUGAGUACGCACAACGUUGGCGGAAUUUGCCGUGUAGCGGUGAAAUGCUUAGAUAUGGCGAAGAACUCCGAUUGCGAAGGCAGCUGACGGGGGCGCAACUGACGCUCAUGCUCGAAAGUGCGGGUAUCGAACAGGAUUAGAUACCCUGGUAGUCCGCACGGUAAACGAUGGAUGC
rnacentral:rRNA from 1 species